ensembl:lncRNA
GUGUUUUUUUUUUCAAAAGGGGAAUUCAUGCAUUUGAUGUCAGUUGCUGUAGAGAAUCCUAAGAGAUACAGAACUGGAUUUAUAUGCUUUAAGUUCACUCUUUGAAUGGGACCAGGUGUCUUUCUAGAGGGAUGGACUUUCUGCUACCUUAUCCCAGAAGAAAAGAUGGAAGCAAGAAGCAGCUUCAUAACCAAAGCAUAUACCAUAUGUAUCAUAUGACAUGCUCUGUAAUUCUAAAGACUACUAUGAAAUUGCUACUGAAGUAAAACAUGCAGGGAAAGAUGUGACUCAUCUAACAAAGAACAUAGGUACUACUGUUUACAUAUCCCCUGAUGCAUCAGCAGGAGUGACAAUGGGGUUUUCCAGGCCCAGCACACUAGAUUUGGAUCUUCUACCUCAUUUGGAAAAGGAAAAAUGAAACGGUGUAAGAUAUGCACAUACUUUUUCUUAGAGAUUUUCUCCCC